AUUGAACGCUGGCGGCAGGCCUAACACAUGCCAGUCGAACGGUAACAGGAAACAGCUUGCUGUUUCGCUGACGAGUGGCGGACGGGUGAGUAAUGUCUGGGAAACUGCCUGAUGGAGGGGGAUAACUACUGGAAACGGUAGCUAAUACCGCAUAACGUCGCAAGACCAAAGAGGGGGACCUUCGGGCCUCUUGCCAUCGGAUGUGCCCAGAUGGGAUUAGCUAGUAGGUGGGGUAACGGCUCACCUAGGCGACGAUCCCUAGCUGGUCUGAGAGGAUGACCAGCCACACUGGAACUGAGACACGGUCCAGACUCCUACGGGAGGCAGCAGUGGGGAAUAUUGCACAAUGGGCGCAAGCCUGAUGCAGCCAUGCCGCGUGUAUGAAGAAGGCCUUCGGGUUGUAAAGUACUUUCAGCGGGGAGGAAGGGAGUAAAGUUAAUACCUUUACUCAUUGACGUUACCCGCAGAAGAAGCACCGGCUAACUCCGU
rnacentral:rRNA from 1 species